rnacentral:tRNA from 1 species
GCACCUAUAGUCUAGGGGCAUGACUCAAGCUUCCCAAGCUUGUGGCGCGGGUUCAAAUCCCGCUAGGUGCA